rnacentral:rRNA from 1 species
UACGAAGGGGGCUAGCGUUGCUCGGAAUCACUGGCGUAAAGGUGCGUAGGCGGGUCUUUAAGUCAGGGGUGAAAUCCUGGAGCUCAACUCCAGAACUGCCUUUGAUACUGAAGAUCUUGAGUUCGGGAGAGGUGAGUGGAACUGCGAGUGUAGAGGUGAAAUUCGUAGAUAUUCGCAAGAACACCAGUGGCGAAGGCGGCUCACUGGCCCGAUACUGACGCUGAGGCACGAAAGCGUGGGGAGCAAACAGGG